ACGCUCGACACCUACUGGAGGCAGCAGUGAGGAAUAUUGGUCAAUGGACGCAAGUCUGAACCAGCCAUGCCGCGUGCAGGAUGACGGCUCUAUGAGUUGUAAACUGCUUUUGUACGAGGGUAAACGCAGAUACGUGUAUCUGUCUGAAAGUAUCGUACGAAUAAGGAUCGGCUAACUCCGUGCCAGCAGCCGCGGUAAUCUGAGCGGGCUGGCAAGGC
rnacentral:rRNA from 1 species